rnacentral:lncRNA from 1 species
GAAUACGUUCUUCCCUAAGGUCCACUGACCUCUCUUGGUGGGAACUCCUAAGCCACCCUAUUAAUAGCUGGGAGAAAUUCAGCAAAUCUCUUCUGAGAGGACUGGGUGUAAACUUUUCUUCAUUGCUACUGACUGACAGCUCUAUUAAUAGGCCAACUCUUGAGCCUUACAGCCCUGCUCAGUGACAAUAAGCUACAAGAGACUUGGCAUGAAACAGAGCUGCCAGCGCAGCCGAGUGUACAGGGCGACCUGCGCUCAUUUCCCCGCCACCCGCCGACCUGCCCAGGGGACCUGCAUGUUGAGACUGCAGUUUUCCCUGACCAACUUGGAACAGAAAGAGGUCAAAGUCCUUUGCCAACUGCCAGAGUGCAAAGCAGGGCUGUCUCUCUUUCUGGCACAUCCCAAAUUCCUGCAUGCCGGAAAUGACGGCACUAGCUCCAUCUCUGGAAACCAGGACUGGGGCAGGCUUGAGAGACGACACUCCUCCAUCUCUGGAAGCCAGGACUGGGGCAGGCUUGAGGAAGCCUGUCUGUCACGUGAAACUGGGUUUUCCUCCUCAGAUGCACAGACGAGAGGCAUGGGGUCGCCGGUGGGGAGGGCAGGGGUCUCAACAAACCAGGCCACCUUCCACCUCCGGCACCCGCCGCGCUGUAACGUGACUCCUGCUCCUUCGACUCCUCCUCCCAUCCCCCGCCCCACACUUCAGUUAUAUUAUGAAUAAUGCAGGCUGAGUUACCAGCUCACCCUCACUUUCUACUCCAAAGGUGCGACUCGGACCUUCUGCCACAUUCCUCACAAUGCGCUGAUCUUUUCCACAGGCCGCUUCCUAGGAAUCUCCUCUGUUCAGGUCAUGUCCGUGAACUAAAAAAGUUUCCCGAAUCAUACAGUCUAUAGUACUUUUAAAAAUACCAAAGGACUCUGGAAGUUUGGGCAGGCUUGAUUCUAGAGCUCUUAGGCUCAAGCAGAUACACCUCUGCUUCUAAAUGAUUAGUGCAGAAGUAUUUCAAAAGACAUGCUUUUCAGGGGCAAGAGAAGUUCCUCAGGCACCACAGUAUUAGGUGGUGUUUUCUGAUUAGUAAGUUCUUCCUGGAAAAGGCCAGCCAAAAUAGUAGCUUCAUCUCUAGAAGCUAGCCAAGAAAACUAAUACUAAAGGCUUGUCACUAUGUGUCUGGGAGAGCUAGGAUUCUGCAUAUGGUUUUAAGUAACAGGACAGCUGUGUAACGAAGAACAGGAUAGGUAAAAAGAAGGCUUGCCAAAACCUAUUAGGACAGUUCAUCAGAGGAUGGGUUUAGGAAGCACUUGGUUAAAAAGAAAACCGUAUUUUGUAAAAGGCAUAUACAGGAGAUGGUUUUGGAGGCAUGAAAAGCAGGAGGCAAGACAACUUGGCUAAAUGAACCCUAAGAACAUGGGGAUCCAAAGAACCAGUUUGGAAGAAUACCAACUGGUUGCUAGAAAGGGCUUCAAUGUGAUUUUGAGGGUAGCGUGUAGACUUGAUAAUUCUGAAUGCUGUUCCUUGGUUGGUUUGUGGGUGGAACAGUCUUGGCUGGCAAGGACAGGCCCAUGGCAUAUUUCCCAAUACACGGUUUGGUAUGUUUGGGAAGGCAUUCUAGCUGUAGUCAGACAGGUACCACUAGCUCUUAUAGAAGAGAAAUUAAAACUGGUUACAAGUACUUAAGAGAUAACAACAUAUACAUUAUUACUGUCCAACCAAGAUCAAUACUGACCAAGACAGGUACUGAUUAAAGACAAAACUGGGCUGGAAAGUGGAUCUGAUUAAAAACUUGCAUGAGGAAAAAUGACCACACAUUAAGGCUCUCAGCUGAUACACAACUAUUGAAAAAUGGGGAAUCAGUGUUAAUACUGACUUAUAAGCCAAGCUAAGA